rnacentral:rRNA from 1 species
GGGGGGGGGGGGGGGGGGGGCGUGGGGGGGGGGGGGGGGGGGUGGCGGGUUGGGCUGCCGGGUGGCGGACGGGUGAGUAGUGUAUCGGGACGUGCCCAGUCGGGGGGGAUAACUGCUCGAACGAGCAGCUGAUACCGCAUCCGGCCUGAGGGUGAAAGCGGGGAAUCGCAAGACCGCACGCGAUUGGAGCGACCGAUAUCCGAUUCGGUAGUUGGUGAGGUCAAGGCCCACCAAGCCGACGAUGUGUAGCUGGUCUGAGAGGACGACCAGCCACACUGGGACUGAGAAACGGCCCAGACUCCGACGGGAGGCAGCAGUGGGGAAUUUUGGACAAUGGGCGCAAGCCUGAUCCAGCCAUGCCGCGUGCGGGAAGAAGGCCUUCGGGUUGGAAACCGCUUUUGUCAGGGAAGAAAAGGGUCUGGCUAAUACCUGGGACUCAUGACGGUACCUGAAGAAUAAGCACCGGCUAACUACGUG